GGGCCGGUAGCUCAGUGGUUAGAGCAGCGGACUCAUAAUCCGUCGCGCGCAGGUUCGAAUCCUGCCCGGCCCA
rnacentral:tRNA from 1 species